GCUCUCCGGGUAGGGUAAAUAUGACUUCGAGCAAAAGGACUUGGAGUCCUCCUCCGAGACAAUCAGGAGUAUAUACCCCGCUAACAGCCUCAGCUGAACACGUCUAUGCGAUGACCAAGGAUAAGGUGCCGUUCCAGAAACCUCAACCUAUUCCCCAACAUAUAGCCAAAGACAAAAAGAAGUAUUGUGACUUCCACGAAUCAGCAGGACAUAGCACCUCCGAGUGUCGGCAUCUGAAAGAGGAAAUCGAAUAUUUACUCAAAGAAGGAUACCUAACGGAAUGGGUAAAAAAGUACAGGACAGACCACCCU
rnacentral:lncRNA from 1 species